ensembl:lncRNA
CACAAUCACAAUAAAUCCAUGAUUUAUUUUAGACUGUUGUGAAGAAUCAUGAUAAGAAAAUGUAGUCUAUUCCAGAUUAACAGAAUAGCUCUGAGUAGUCCUGAUGUGGCUAUGGCAAAUGGUUGUUGCCGGCGCGGCAGUUAGCCUAGUGGUUAGAGUGUAGGGACGGCAGGUAGCCUAGUGGUUAGAGUGUAGGGACGGCAGGUAGCCUAGUGGUUAGAGUGUAGGGACGGCAGGGUAGCCUAGUGGUUAGAGUGUAGGGACGGCAGGUAGCCUAGUGGUUAGAGUGUAGGGACGGCAGGUAGCCUAGUGGUUAGAGCGUAGGGGCGGCAGGUAGCCUAGUGGUUAGGACUAGCAACCGAAAGGUUGCAAGAUCGAAUCCCCGAGCUGACAAGAUACAAAUAUGUCAUUCUGCCCCUGAACUAGGCAGUUAACCCACUGUUCCUAGGCCGUCAUUGAAAAUAAGAAUUUGUUCUUUAACUGACUUGCCGAGUUAAAUAAAGGUAAAAUAAAAUACUUCAUUUAGCAGACCAACUGAUUCACAGCAUGAACCUUAUCCUCACACCAACGAGAUCUAGGAUCCAAAUUCACCGCGUCUGCCUCAGGG